ensembl:lncRNA
GUUUAUUAUAAAUUAAAUUAUGCAUCAUUUUACACCGUUUUAAGAAUUUGUGGAAUUUGUUUUCGUAUUAAUAGGCAUUUGAGUACACUAUUUAAAGAUCAUAUCUUAAAAUGACUGGUUUAUUGUUGUCCAAAUGCACAUGUUCAAGUUUUUUUUUUUAAAUAACUAUUGACCUGGAGAGUCUAGAGAAUUGUACUGAGAGAAUAGUACACAUUUAGAUACAGAUAUUUUAAUAAAUGAUAGAUUUUAUGCUAUGUAUGGUAGGUAAUAUGAAUCCAAAAUCAAACCCUGUAAAAAAAAAAGAAAUGUAUUAUUCAUCUGAAAUAUUAUUAAUAUUAUUUUGAGUUAAAUAAAUAAAAUAAAAUACUAACUGCAAGUCUUCUCUUUGUUACAUAAUUUUCAGAUUUACCAGUAAUCAUAACGUGUAUUUAUUAUUCCAUCCACUAGAGGGAGUGUGAUUUAUUGUUAGACAGAACGUCUUCCUGUUUCCCGGAAAGGAAACCAUUUUUCUCAACUUGCAAAACAAGUUUUGUGUUGCAGAAGACUUGCAGAAACGAGAUUUGAGAUGCCUCGGACGAAGCAGUCUCAGCGUUCUCAGGCAGCCAAGAAGAGAAUCGUGAACCGGCUAGCUGCUAAUCCUGAAGAGAUCUUGCCACCUGUUAAAAAAAGAAAAGAAAUACAAGAGCCUGAUCCUACUUUUGCCAAUUGUUCCGAAUUUGCCGAUUGUUCCGAAUUUUCCGAUUGUUCCGAAUUUGCCAAAUAUUCCGAAUCUUACCCAAACUCUGACCCAAAGUCUGAUUCAGACGCUAAUUCAAAGUCUAUGCCAAAGUUUCCAAAAGAUGCUGAGAUGACUAUGCAUGCUGUUUCUUCUUUGUCUCCACAGACUUCCUAUAUCAGAGGCUCUUUCCAUCAAGGAGAUUACCGUUUUGGCUGGAAUAGGGGAAGCCAAUGUGGUGCAAACAGUUUAACUGCAAUUGUGAUGUGUAAGAUGAAAAGUGUGUUGCAGUGGACAAGAAGUGACCUGAAUGCUGUUUUGAUCCACGGAAAUGAGCUGUACAGUGCAAUGAGAGACGCAGGGAAGAUCAACGAUCCUGAAUCAGGCUUCAUAGCUGUUCAUGAGCUACCAGACACACACACUCUGAAAGAUUGUCAGUUUUCAAUAAACUAUGGUGAAACAUUGACUGGCUUGUUUGGUGUCAAUAAAUAUGAUGGUGAACUACGAGGGUAUGCAAUGUCAUUUGAUGAAGCAGUAAAUCGAGCAUUCCAGAGGUUUGAUGCAUGCUUAGUGAAUAUUAAGCUAACCAUAUGUGCAGCUGUCAGAGAAGGUUCCUGGUAUGCAGUGAUUGAUCCACAUUCAAGACGCUUUGAUGGCAGAUGUGUAGCUGACGGUAAGAGUGUAGUGGUUUACCAUCGUGACUUGCAUUCUCUGAUUGUUCAUUUCCGGAAACUCGCUGCGUCUAUUAAUGCACGUUACCAUGAGUUUGAGGUAACUGGGGUCAAUGCAGUU